CUGAGUCAUGUCAUCAACGGGACAUUCGCUGGGCAUGAUCGGAGAAGAAAAAUAGUGCAUCCACCAUUGCAACAUAGUUUUGAAGAUACAUUAAAUGAUGUUUUAUUAACAAAGGUCGAGAGGAACACAUUCAAAUGAUCUAACUAAUCAUCACAUCACUCCAACCAGCAGUCAUCAAUCAGCAAUCAACAUAUCUACCCAAUCAGCAGGAGUGGAGACAUAUAUAUAGACCAUUUCAACUGCUAUUCGUCGAAGUAAGGAAGUGGCGUCUUUGGUCCUCGGAAGUUUCCGGUUAGUUAGCGCGCACAUUCUAAACAUUGGCGGGAGGCGCUUCAGUUCGGUGAUACUGCGACAAUUUACAGAUAAUAAAAUGUCCAAAUUAAAAUUAGGACCGUGUUGUUCGGUGGUUGGAUGCUCUCUCAGGCCAGGAACUAACUUGCUUCUGAGAUCAAAGCGUUUAGAUUUCCGAAAAACAAAACGCAACGCGACGCCUGGAUUGCAGCAGUUAAAAGAGAAGGCUGGAUACCAACUUGCAACUCUAGGAUAUGUAGCACACAUUUUAUCUCUGGCAAGCCAUCAGAUGACCCUCUAAGUCCAGACUACAUUCCAUCAAACUUCCUCACAGACCUGACAACUCCAGAAAGAUGGACCGAUAUCAGAGGUCUCUAAGACGAGCAUCAGAGGUCUCCGAGACAAGCAUUAGAGUUCAGCCCACUGAGAAAGUUGAGGACAUGGACAUAGAUGUGACAGAAGUUAAGUCCUGUCACAUAAGUCAUGUGUGUUGGAACUGAUCUCACUAUGAGGGAUAUAGAAGAAAUGCAGAACCUGAAUUCAUCUUAUAAAGACCAAGUGACAAGCCUACAGUCAAAAGUACAAACACUCACCUGUGAAAGAAAACAACUAAAAUCUGACGUGGAUUUAAAAGAUGAUCAAACCAUUCACUUCUAUACUGGCCUUCGCUCAUCCAAAGUGUUCUUCGCACUUCUGACUUAUCUGACCACUGCUUGGAGUCCGAGAACGCUGAGUCCUCCAACACCUCUCCAGUUUUAUUUGGUCUUGAUGAAACUGAGACUUGGCCUCACGCAUAAAGAUCUUGCCUACAGGUUUCAUUGCAGUUGUGCAACAAUCUCUUCAAUAUUUCAUGACUGGUUAGCGUUUCAGCUCUCUAGUACAUUGGCCUUCCAGGGAAGAGAUUAAAACGAGUCUUCCUGGCCUGUUCAAAAGCCCCCCGUUCAGUUAGGUGUAUCAUAGACUGCAGCGAAAUUUUUAUUGACCGACCAACAUCACUAAGUGCAAGAGCGGUGACAUACUCCAACUAUAAGUCCCACAACACCAUCAAAUUCCUGGUUGGCAUCAGUCCAACAGGGUCAGUCACUUUUCUUUCUAAGUCUUGGGGUGGGAGAGCCAGUGACAAAACAAUCACCAAAUCAUCUGGGUUAAUUGAUCUUUUGGAAGAGGGAGACAUUGUCAUGGCUGACCGAGGGUUCAGUUUCCCUGAGUAUUUUGCUGCAAAAGGAGUCCAGCUACUUAUACCAGCUUCAACCCGUGGAAAGACGCAGCUUUUAGGACAGGAAGUGUCUGUGUCACGUCACAUGUCAAGGAUGAGAAUUCAUGUGGAAAGAGCUAUCGGCCGCAUUAAAAAGUACAGCAUUUUGCGACAAACACUCCCCAUAAACUUGGUCAAACGAAGACGCAAAGACACGGUGGCAACUGUUGAUAAAAUACUACUGGUAUGUUCUGCAUUAUCUAAUUUGGACAAGUCAUUAGUUCAGUAGAAAAAGACACAUCAGACACUAACAAGUGGUUAGAAACCUUUUAUUUUUUAUUAAUUGAAUGAUUGUGUACAGUAUUAACAUUGGUGGCAGAUUUAAAACAUGAAAUGUGUCAUUGUAUAUAUUGUGUAUAUAGAUUUAUGUUUGAUCUUUAAUUCUUUUUUCUAACUAUCUGCAAUUAUUAAACAUUUGUUAAUUAGAACA